CAACGGGUGAGUAACGCGUAGGCAACCUGCCCUUCAGAGUGGGGACAACNCCUACGGAAAGGGGUGCUAAUACCGAAUGACGUUUCCUGGUCGCAUGACCUGGAAACCAAAGGCCGGCAACCGGUCACUGAAGGAUGGGCCUGCGUCUGAUUAGCUAGUUGUGGGGUAACGGCCCACCAAGGCGACGAUCAGUAGCCGGUCUGAGAGGAUGAACGGCCACAUUGGGACUGAGACACGGCCCAAACUCCUACGGGAGGCAGCAGUGGGGAAUCUUCCGCAAUGGGCGCAAGCCUGACGGAGCAACGCCGCGUGAGUGAAGAAGGUUUUCGGAUCGUAAAGCUCUGUUGAGAGGGACGAGAGAUAUAAUCAGGAAAUGGGUUAUAGAGGACGGUACCUUUCGAGGAAGCCACGGCUAACUACGUG
rnacentral:rRNA from 1 species